ACAUUGAGUACUGGGAAUAAAUGGAAUUCCACAAAGUUCAGCAUCUGGACGGCACUCUUAAGUCCUUUAAAUAGACCGGCUCUCUCUUCCAGUUCUGCUUGGCUCCGCUCUGAUACAAUCUGGAUUCUUGAGUGUUUUUACUCAGCACUCUCUGGCAUAAAGUGGGAUGAUGUUUGAAAAGCAAGAUUAUUGAAUAACAACACACCGGGCGCACCUUCACAAACUCACAGGCACGCGUACUCCCUGGCUGACCAGAUGUACGUCCAGGUGGCCUGAUAAACCAAGCAUAGCAGAGAGACGCUAUCGACGCAGUGUUUGGAUAGUUGUGGGAUGAGAGGAGCGCACAGAGAUUACUGGCUCUCUCCGGCCAAAGAUUAGCCAAUGAUGAAGCUGCUUUGCCCUCACGCUGUUGGAAAAGGUUGGACCCCCCGAUGGUGCCCCAGAAUGCUGAACAAAGCUCUUCAUCUUCAGUGGCUUUUGAGUGUGCUGCUCUGCUCCUUUCAUGGGAAUCUGUCACCGUGGAGAUGUGAAGGUGCUCCCUUACUGCCGGAGCCAGGAGAGACAGCAGCGAGUCCCACUGGACCAAAUCCAUCCUCAGAAUUAUACCAGUUGACUCUGGAUGAUGAGAUAAUCAGAGACACAGAGCUUAAUGUGACACUGUUACAUGACAAAUCAUACUACACCUGCUUCUGAUUUCAAAUGAAAUCACUAAAAUACUGAAUUAACAUUAAAACAGACUUGUAUCCAUCAUGUUUAGGCAGUGUCAUUUUAUUCUAUUCUGUAAUUUUAUUGAAAUAAACACA